AGUGAACGCUGGCGGCAGGCCUAACACAUGCAAGUCGAGCGGCAGCGCGGGGCAACCUGGCGGCGAGCGGCGGACGGGUGAGGAAUGCAUCGGAAUCUACCCUGUCGUGGGGAUAACGUAGGGAAACUUACGCUAAUACCGCAUACGACCGAGAGGUGAAAGUGGGGGACCUUCGGGCCUCACGCGAUUGGAUGAGCCGAUGCCGGAUUAGCUAGUUGGUGGGGUAAAGGCCCACCAAGGCGACGAUCCGUAGCUGGUCUGAGAGGAUGAUCAGCCACAUUGGGACUGAGACACGGCCCAAACUCCUACGGGAGGCAGCAGUGGGGAAUAUUGGACAAUGGGCGCAAGCCUGAUCCAGCCAUGCCGCGUGUGUGAAGAAGGCCUUCGGUGUAAGCACUUUGUUCGGG
rnacentral:rRNA from 1 species